CCUACGGGGGGCAGCAGUGGGGGAUAUUGCACAAUGGGCGCAAGCCUGAUGCAGCCAUGCCGCGUGUGUGAAGAAGGCCUUCGGGUUGUAAAGCACUUUCAGCGGGGAGGAAGGCGUUAAGGUUAAUAACCUUGGCGAUUGACGUUACCCGCAGAAGAAGCACCGGCUAACUCCGUGCCAGCAGCCGCGGUAAUACGGAGGGUGCAAGCGUUAAUCGGAAUUACUGGGCGUAAAGCGCACGCAGGCGGUCUGUCAAGUCGGAUGUGAAAUCCCCGGGCUCAACCUGGGAACUGCAUUCGAAACUGGCAGGCUAGAGUCUUGUAGAGGGGGGUAGAAUUCCAGGUGUAGCGGUGAAAUGCGUAGAGAUCUGGAGGAAUACCGGUGGCGAAGGCGGCCCCCUGGACAAAGACUGACGCUCAGGUGCGAAAGCGUGGGGAGCAAACAGGAUUAGAUACCCUGUAGUC
rnacentral:rRNA from 1 species